GAUGAACGCUGGCGGCGUGCCUAAUACAUGCAAGUCGAACGAAACUUCUUUAUCACCGAGUGCUUGCACUCACCGAUAAAGAGUUGAGUGGCGAACGGGUGAGUAACACGUGGGCAACCUGCCCAAAAGAGGGGGAUAACACUUGGAAACAGGUGCUAAUACCGCAUAACCAUAGUUACCGCAUGGUAACUAUGUAAAAGGUGGCUAUACUACCGCUUUUGGAUGGGCCCGCGGCGCAUUAGCUAGUUGGUAGGGUAAAGGCUUACCAAGGCAAUGAUGCGUAGCCGAAGUGAGAGGUGGAUCGGCCACAUUGGGACUGAGACACGGCCCAAACUCCUACGGGAGGCAGCAGUAGGGAAUCUUCCACAAUGGGCGAAAGCCUGAUGGAGCAACGCCGCGUGGGUGAAGAAGGUCUUCGGAUCGUAAAACCCUGUUGUUAGAGAAGAAAGUGCGUGAGAGUAACUGUUCACGUUUCGACGGUAUCUAACCAGAAAGCCACGGCUAACUACGUG
rnacentral:rRNA from 1 species